CUGUUCUUACUUGUUCAUUCCCCUGGUUCUUACAUGCAUGUCCCCUGUUCUUUACAUGUCAUGUCCCCUGUGUCUUACAUGUCAUGUCCCCUGUUCUUACAUGUUCAUUGUCCCCUGUUCUUACAUGUCAUGUCCCCUGUUCUUACAAUUUCAUGUCCCUGUUUCUUACAUGGUCAUGUCCCUGUUCUUACAUGUCAUGUCCCCUGUUCUACAUGUCAUGUCCCCUGUUCUUAAACAUGUCAUGUCCCCUGUUCUUACAUUCCAUGUCCCCUGUUCUUACAUGUCAUGUCCCCUGUUUCUUAUCACUUCAUGUCCCCUGUUCUUACAUGUCAUGUCCCCUGUUCUUACAUGUCAUGUCCCCUGUUCUUAAAAUGCUUUUUUUUUCAGUUGAACGCCUUUUUUCUUUCUUAGGCGUAUUUGUAAGGAUGAGGUAUUGUACUUUUUUUUCUUUCUUAGGCGUAUUUGUAAGGAUGAGGUAUUGUACUUUUUUUUCUUUCUUAGGCGUAUUUGUAAGGAUGAGGUAUUGUACUUUUUUCUUUCUUAGGCGUAUUUGUAAGGAUGAGGUAUUGUACUUUUUUCUUUCUUAGGCGUAUUUGUAAGGAUGAGGUAUUGUAUUUUUUUUCUUCUUAGGCGUAUUUGUAAGGAUGAGGUAUUGUACUUUUUUCUUUCUUAGGCGUAUUUGUAAGGAUGAGGUAUUGUACUUUUUUUUCUUUCUUAGGCGUAUUGUAAGGAUGAGGUAUUGUACUUUUUUUCUUUCUUAGGCGUAUUUGUAAGGAUGAGGUAUUGUACUUUUUUCUUUCUUAGGCGUAUUUGUAAGGAUGAGGUAUUGUACUUUUUUUCUUUUUUUUUACAAAUAAAGGUCUGCCUUGUUGAGAAGAUGCUUGUGUCUUGUUCAAAGUGCGCCA
rnacentral:lncRNA from 1 species